rnacentral:misc_RNA from 1 species
GAUGAAGAACGUAGCGAAAUGCGAUACGUAAUGUGAAUUGCAGAAUUCAGUGAAUCAUCGAGUCUUUGAACGCACAUUGCGCCCCCUGGUAUUCCGGGGGGCAUGCCUGUCCGAGCGUCAUUGCUGCCCUCAAGCACGGCUUGUGUGUUGGGCCCCCGCCCCCCGGUCCCGGGGGGCGGGCCCGAAAGGCAGCGGCGGCACCGCGUCCGGUCCUCGAGCGUAUGGGGCUUUGUCACCCGCUCUGUAGGCCCGGCCGGCGCCCGCCGGCGACCCCAAUCAAUCUUUUUCAGGUUGACCUCGGAUCAGGUAGGGAUACCCGCUGAACUUAAGCAUAUCAAUAAGCGGAGGA